rnacentral:rRNA from 1 species
GAUUUCUGGCUUGGUGCGCGCCGUCCGCUGUCGUUAGAUGGUGUGUGCGGUUGUGCGCCUGCCAUCUUUCUAGACAUUGUGCUGUGCCCUUCACUGGGUGGCAGGCAGUGGCUGGAUCUUUUACUUUGAAAAAAUUAGAGUGUUCAAAGCAGGCUUGCGCUAUGAAUACAUUAGCAUGGAAUAAUAAUUUAGGACUCCCGUUCUAUUUUGUUGGUUUCUAGGAUGGAAGUAAUGAUUGAUAGGGAUAGUUGGGGGUGCUAGUAUUCAGAGGCCAGAGGUGAAAUUCUCGGAUUCUCUGAAGACUAACUUAUGCGAAAGCAUU